UCCUGUCAGGAGAAACCUGGCAGGGAAGCGUCUUCCAGGGCGGCCUCUCCUUGUACACUUGCCCCGGCUGAGUGGGUGCGGAGAGGGAGCCUUGUAGGCCCUCUGCUGAGAGCCACUGGGAGAGAGGGCUCAAAGGUUUCAGAAGAAAACAACGUUUCUUUACUAUCUUCUUCAAAGAGUAUAUAUGCACAAUUAAUCUCAAAAGAGCCUCCGUUUUCAGCUGCAAGUCACCGCUGCAAUAUUGCUGCUUGGUGGUGUCCCUAGUAUUGCCAUCACCUGGAGCCAGGUGCCCAAAUGCCCAUCCAGGUGCUGCUCAAAUGGCACUUAAAGGCAUUCACACCUAAGCCUGAUGAGAAGAUAGAAGGGGCAUGUGAAACCCAGUGUCCAAC